rnacentral:rRNA from 1 species
GCAGGUUGAAGCGCGGGUAAGACCGCGUGGAGGACCGAACCCACCUGGGUUGAAAACCGGGGGGAUGACCUGGGGCUAGGGGUGAAAGGCCAAUCAAAUUCCGUGAUAGCUGGUUCUCUCCGAAAUGCAUUUAGGUGCAGCGUCGGUUGAUUGCAUCGCGGGGGUAGAGCUACUGGAUGCUUGCGGGCCCGUAUGGGGUACCAACAGCAGCCAAACUCCGAAUACCGUUGAUGUGUAUUCCGGCAGUGAGUCGGCGGGGGAUAAGCUCCGUCGUCGAGAGGGAGACAGCCCAGACCGUCGUCUAAGGUCCCGAAGCGUGUGCUAAGUGGGAAAGGAUGUGGAGUCGCAUAGACAGCCAGGAGGUUGGCUCAGAAGCAGCCAUCCUUGAAAGAGUGCGUAACAGCUCACUGGUCUAGUGGUUCCGCGCCGACAAUGUAGCGGGGCUCAAGCACACCACCGAAGACGCGGCAGCGGCCUUUGUGGCCGCUGGGUAGGAGAGCGUCCCCCGAGGGGCGAAGCGGCCGCGCAAGCGCGCCGUGGACUUCGGGGGAGUGAGAAUGCAGACAUGAGUAGCGAGAGACGGGUGAGGAUCCCGUCCGCUGGAUGACCAAGGGUUCCGGGGCCACGUUCGUCGUCCCCGGGUGAGUCGGGUCCUAAGGCGAGGCCGACAGGCGUAGUCGAAUGGAUGAACGGGUGGAUAUUCCCGUACCGGCAGCGAACCGUCCGAACUGAACGGAUGAGUACUAACCUCCGGUCGCGUGGCGUCGUUCCCUUCGGGGUUCGGGGCGCGCGAUUGUUGGGAAUGUAGUCCUGGUAGGUUAGCGCACAGGGGUGACACGGAAUGGGAGCCGGCCGCGGAGGUGGUUUUCCGUGGUCAAGCACGCAGCCCGUCCCAUAGGCAAAUCCGUGGGGCAUGCAGGGUGAGGUGCGAUGAUGGGCGCCUUUCAGGCGCGAUAUCCGGUGGUCCAGGCCGUCGAGAAAAGCCUCGGCGCGAGGGGCGUUGCCGCCCGUACCCCAAACCGACACUGGUGGUCAGGUAGAGAAUACCAAGGCGAUCGAGCGAAUCCUGGUCAAGGAACUCGGCAAAUCACUCCCGUGCCUUCGGUAUAAGGGAGACCCGCUGGGGUGAACCGGCUAGCCCGGGGAGCUUUGGUGGGUGGCACAGACCAGGGGGUAGCGACUGUUUACCAAAAACACAGGUGCAUGCGAAGGCGCAAGCCGCUGUAUAUGCACUGACGCCUGCCCGGUGCCGGAAGGUUAAGAGGAUCCGUCAGCCCUCGGGUGAAGCGGUGAAUUCAAGCCCCGGUAAACGGCGGUGGUAACUAUAACCAUCCUAAGGUAGCGAAAUUCCUUGUCGGGUAAGUUCCGACCUGCACGAAUGGCGUAACGACUUCCCCACUGUCUCGACCAGGAGCUCGGCGAAAUUGCAGUACGAGUAAAGAUGCUCGUUAAGCGCAGAAGGACGAAAAGACCCCGGGACCUUUACUAUACCUUGGUAUUGGCGUUAGGCGCGGAUUGUGUAGCAUAGGCGGGAGGCUUCGAAGCGGGUGCGCCAGCAUUCGUGGAGCCGCAAGGUGAAAUACCGCUCUGUUCUCGUUUGACGUCUCACCUCGAACAGUCAUCCUGUUCAGGGACAGUGCCUGGCGGGUAGUUUAACUGGGGCGGUUGCCUCCCAAAGAGUAACGGAGGCGCUCAAAGGUCCGCUCAGCCCGGUUGGCAAUCGGGUGUCGAGUGUAAUCGCACAAGCGGGCUUGACUGCGAGGACGACGGUCCGAGCAGGGACGAAAGUCGGAGAUAGUGAUCCGGUGCCGGCGCACGGGCGCGGCAUCGCUCAACGGAUAAAAGGUACCCCGGGGAUAACAGGCUGAUCAUUCCCAAGAGUCCAUAUCGACGGGAUGGUUUGGCACCUCGAUGUCGGCUCGUCGCAUCCUGGGGCUGGAGCAGGUCCCAAGGGUUCGGCUGUUCGCCGAUUAAAGCGGCACGCGAGCUGGGUUCAGAACGUCGUGAGACAGUUUGGUCUCUAUCCUCUGCGCUCGUUGGAAUCCUGAGGAGGCCUGCCCAUAGUACGAGAGGACCUGGGUGGACGAACCUCUGGUAUGCCGGUUGUC